rnacentral:tRNA from 1 species
GGGCCGGUAGUUCAGCCUGGUAUGAAUACCCGGUUUGCACCCGGGAGGCCGCGGGUUCGAAUCCCGCCCGGUCCA